rnacentral:lncRNA from 1 species
CUAAUAUGUGCUUUUGUGCUGAUCUUGUGCAAACUUCUUAAGCCUGCGCACCUGCUUUCUCAUGUCCUGUCGGUGGAAAUCAUGGAGCCUCGGGGUAAGAGGGACAUGGGGACAGCUCCAUGGGGACAGCUCCCUGGAUCUCUAUGGCCUUUAAAGUAUAGGUGGGCCAACCGGCUCAUUUCAGUUGGACCAUUGGUCAUCCUCUUAAUUCUCGUGUGUCCCUUGGCUGAUUGUCUGGAUCCAUCAACUAUUGAUGAAGAUCCUAGCCUAUUUUGUUACCAGGACAGAGAUGCACACAGAAGUCUGUCUGUAUGCGUCUGUGCUUUCUUACUAACACGAUUAUCAAAAUUCAGUUCUCCUCUCCUAAGAGCGAGAGUGUUCUUCAGUGGGACCCACCUCUGUAGACACACUGAUGUUGAAGUGAUGGCUCUUGUUUACCAAUGUCAUAUUUGAUAUCCCCAUCUUUUCUGGCCUCUUGGAGGAUGGGUGGGGCCAUUUUGACUGUGUCUGACUACAAGCUGUAAGAGGAAGUGGUGUAGUUAACUUCCAGGUUGAAGCAUAGCCCCAGGUUGGGGGUGAGUGGGAUAUCUCUUUCCCUUUCAUGGUAAUUGUGGAAGCCAUACAUUUCAGAGAAUUCAGUUCUAAGAUGCAGAAUGGGCCACUAGCCUCCAUCCAUCAGCAAGUGACUGUGUGGAUUAGGGCAUAAGCCCCAUGCUAUCCUGCAGCCCCUACCAACUCACAAUGGGCAUAGAAUAAGCCUUUGUUAUGCUUAGGCCCUAAGGCUUCAGGGUCUAUUAGUUACUGCAACUCACCCAGCCUGGCCUCAUGGUUGAGGAUUUCUGCAUCAGCCAUGGGCUGGAGCUGACAGUGCUUUCACAGGGGGGCAGGCUGGGUGUUCCAUCUUUGCAGGACAUCCUUUGUGUGGCCCAGCCGUGAGACGCACUGCUGUUUGAACGCUGUACUGUAGAAGGCACAGACUGAGAUGCUGGAUCAACUGCGCAUGCCUGUCUUUGUGACCGGCUGCUAUCGAUCCUUCCGAGCCCGUGUGCCACGCUGGAAAGCUGCAUCUAAGAGUUAAGAUUUACUGGCUUAAAAGCGUGUGUGUCGUGGGAUUGCGCGGUGGCUCAGUAAGUAAGUGCUUGCCUUGCACACACAAAGACCUAACUGUUCAAUGUGCAGCUCCUAUGUUUAAAAAUCUAGUUGAGCAUUGUGGCACACACUUAUAAUCUCAGCUCUAAAGAAGCAAAGACCGUGGCUCCCUGGGGCUCACUGGUAGCCAGCAGCCAAACUGGUGAGUUGCAGGUAAAAGUGAGAGUUUUUUUUUUUUUUCUCACAAAACAUGAUGGAUUAUGAGGAACUACAGUUGAGAUUGUCCUCUGGUCUCCACAGACACAUAUGUACUCAUACCUAUACAUAGUCAUGCACCUGCAAACACACACACACACACACACACACACACACACACACACACACACACACUCACACACACACACUCACACACACACUCACAUACACUCACAUAUACACUCACAUACACACACACUAACAUAUACACACACUCACACACACUCACAUACACACACUCACAUACACACACACACUCACACAUACUCACACACACUCACACACACACACUCACAUACACACACUCACACACACACACUCACACACACACUCACAUACACACACUCACAUACACACACACACCAACAUACACACACACUCACACACACUCACAUACACACACACACACACACUCACAUACACACACUCACGUGCAUGCACACAGGUCAGGGUACAGCGAACUGACAUCCUAGCAGGCUCCUGGGCGAUGCAGAUGCUGGCAUUCUGGGCACUGCCCUUUGGAAAGCUAUG